AAUGGGGAAGUACAAGACCAUCCAGCAUACAAGUAUCAGACACGCGGAGCGUGUAACCAUGGAAGAAGCAGGCCAAGAUUCAAUGACCUUUAUUGAGCCACAUGCAAGAUGGACACUGCCCAUUUACUGGGACUAGAGGAGAUGACCACCCAUUUUGAUCUCUGGAUAAAGAAGAGGAAGAAUGUAUUGAAUGAAAGCAAAAACAAGUUCAUUCACUGAACCUGAAGCUCCAUGAUUUUGCUAGAUUUAACUGGGGAGCAAUCACUAACAGAAUUCCGUGUCACUCUGAAUAGCACUCGAACUUCAGGCAUUGGAUUCCAGGCCUUGGACACAGUAGGAAUCUGCUGUAUCAAUGAAGGAUGUGUCCAGUCAUUGGCUUCCUGAGACAUAGUCUGAUUAUGUCAUUCAAACUACCCUACAUCUCAUGGUCUGUUUGCCUGUGACUUCCAAGUAAUAAGAUCACAGGUGUGCUCCUCAUAAGUGUUUUAAAAAGACACAUUUCAAACACUUGAAAAAAAGUUUUCACUGUUGUUAAGCAGAUGAAAAAAAUUGAAAUUAUAGAUCUUGUGAAAUGAUUCAUAAAUGCUUGAAAACUUGUGUUCUCGGAAAGUUUCAAGGCUCUUAAAAUCAUUUAGAAUUUGCAGAAAAAAGAAAAUGCUUUGGCAAUAGUCUUUCAAAAAGAGCAUACACAUACAUGUAAAAUGUCUCAAGGAAAAGAUGUACAGAAAAGAAAUGAAUAAAACAUGUACAACUUAUGACAGACCCAGUGUCUGGUCAGUAGUGUUUGAUAGAACACCUACUUCAAUGCCCAUCAAACAAAGAAAGCUUCCAUCCUGGUUGCUACCAUAUACCAUAUCUGCAUCCUCUGCAUUCAUCAGGAUGUCUGUCAAUGUGCCUCUCUUCCAAACCACCAAUGUGAAAAUAUGAAUUAAUAGAUAAACUUGAACCUCAGGGUUUAUAAUGAGUGGGCACAUACAUGUCAGCAGUGACAGCUCACUGUCUGCAGGCUCACCUCAUGCAGGAUUUAACACUAUUAAAGUUAUUUUUUCAAGAAGUGUGUGAUGCAUAAAAUGUAAAUAAAUCAUAAACAUUUAAAAAUUAUAAUUUUAUGGUCAUUUUUCUGUUAUUCCCUUACUUUAUAGCCUGCAUGCUCCACUUCAGUAGAAAUACAUGACAUCUUUUCUUCAUUGUUAGGGGUGAUACCCAGGGCUUUGCAUAAUACAGAACUAUUCUACCACCAAAAUACACCUUUAUUCCUGAAUGCAUUUUUAAUAUGAUUUAAAUUUUUUAUUUUCUUGCAACUUUUAUUCUAUCAAGUCCCUUUAUCCUUACAUAUGAAUGAACCUUGUAAAUAGAACUCAGAUGUAUAACACCUAAGUUUUAAAAUAGCAUAAGAGCAACUAAUUUAAUUUAAUUUUAACAGUAUUUUACUAUUUAUUCAUUGGAUUAAUUAUUAUGAAUCAAAUAACUGUAGGUUGCUACUAUAAGUUAAAUAUCCCUCAAAAUGCUUCUUUUUUAGUAUAGGCACAAAAAUUACAUUAGCAGCUAUAUAGUCCAAACAGAUUCUGAAUUCUGUGAACAAAUGUGUUUAUUUUAUAUGUAUUUGAUAAUAACAAUGUAAUUUUCUAUUACUAUUAUCACAUGACCAAUAUUGUGUCAAAUAUAAUAAACCUUAAAACUCCAUCUCAAUAAAUAGAAAUAUGUAUUUAUAGUUUAACCAUUACUUCAUCUUAUUAAAAAUUAUUUAGGGAAGUAUUUGUGUGUAUCUCAAAAUAUAAACAAAAUGAUUGUGGCAAAUUAUUGAUUUCUUAGAAUUUGAUAGACAGCUUUAUAAAAUUUAUAUGACAACUGAGUGAUAUAAUUGUAAUGCUGUGUAAGUCACAGCAAAGACUAAAAGGUAUUUAAAUAAAUGACAAUCAACACCAUUGUCUCUUUGAAUGCUAUAUACAUAUGCAUGUGUAUGUAUGAAAACUAUAUAUAGUAUGAAGUAAUACUUAGAAAGCUUGAUGCUAAUAAAAACUGCAAUCCUUGAACACCU